rnacentral:rRNA from 1 species
GACGAACGCUGGCGGCGUGCUUAACACAUGCAAGUCGAACGGUAAGGCCCUUCGGGGUACACGAGUGGCGAACGGGUGAGUAACACGUGGGUGAUCUGCCCUGCACUUCGGGAUAAGCCUGGGAAGCUGGGUCUAAUACCGGAUAGGACCACUGCCUGCAUGGGUGGUGGUGGAAAGCUUUUGCGGUGUGGGAUGGGCCCGCGGCCUAUCAGCUUGUUGGUGGGGUGAUGGCCUACCAAGGCGACGACGGGUAGCCGGCCUGAGAGGGUGACCGGCCACACUGGGACUGAGAUACGGCCAGACUCCUACGGGAGGCAGCAGUGGGGAAGAUUGCACAAUGGGCGCAAGGCUGAUGCAGCGACGCCGCGUGAGGGAUGACGGCCUUCGGGUUGUAAACCUCUUUCAGCACCGACGAAGCGCAAGUGACGGUAGGUGCAGAAGAAGGACCGGCCAACUACGUGCCAGCCGCCGCGGUAA